ensembl:lncRNA
ACCUGGAUAACCGGAUUUCUGGGAAAACUGCUUGCUUUUAAUCACAGCAAAAAUCAGGGACUUCAUGGUUGAGUAGCAAUGCUCCCUACCUGAGCCAUUUCCAGGAUCUGAUGUCUGCACGGAGCCCUCCCGGCACGCAGUACAGCGCUGGCCAAGGGCAGAGCCUGCAAGCUGCUCCUCUCCCUACUGCACCGACUUCCAGGUUCUGUUUGCACCAGCCCAAUGUCAAACAUCGCAGCAGCAGCUCUGGCGGAAGGAGGAACCAGCUGCCCCAGCCUUGCCCAGAGCUUUAUGGCAAUGUUUGGGUGAAGUUGGCAAGAGGGUCCCGAAGCUUCCAGAGGGCUGGAAAGACAGAUGGCAGGGAAGAACUGGCAAUCAGAUAAAAGCAGAAGCAUGGCACAUGAGAGGGAAGGAAAGAUGAGAUGUGCAAAAGGGGUCUUGGCAGAGCCACAGGAGAAGACCCAGCAUGGUUCAGGAGAGGACACACACUGCCCACCGGGAAAGGCUUGUGGGCAGAAACAGCGGAAAGCACUGCCUUCAAAGCUGUACCUCUCCAGGUGAGCCAAGCGAGACAAGGCGGAAAUGAACCACAGCCUAAGAGUGCAUUGGGUCCUGCAUGAGGACAGCACGCUGACCUGAAGAUGACAUUCGGUGCCAUUCCCUGCGAGCAGGACACUCGCGGUGCUUUGUGGCGACAACACCGCAGCGCGAAGGCACCUGGAGGGCGUCCUGUCGUCAGCUACCCAGCAAACGGAGCCUGGGGAAAGGCCGGGACAACCUCGAGCGACGCCAAGCUCCGGCAGCCCCGUUCUGCUCCGUGACCCCUCCCCGCACGGCCGGGGGAGGCCGCACCGCCGCUCCCCGAGCGCCCUCUGCUGCCUCUCCGGGGCUGGAGCAGGUGCACGGCCCGGGGCUCUCCGGGGCCGCUCCUCGCCGCCCUGCGGCCAUUUGCAGUGGCCGUAAUACCGCCCUCGUCCCCUCCUCCUCUUUCCCACCCUAUACCCUAAGAGCCAACGAGCGGAUAGCCCGGGUCCUCCCUGACUUCCCCAGGUGCUUUUCCUCGGGUGCUUUGAGGACCGCGGAGCAAACGCCAAAAAAAAAAAAAAAAAAAAAAAAAAAAAAAAGCGAGCUCAAUUCGCAGCUUAGCAUCUUUGAAAGCCUUCUUAGAAGAGAUAGGAUUUCUAAGGGAGGAGCUGAGCGAAGGCCCCUUUGAAAUCACUGACCCAGAUGAAGCGACACCCGAGCCCCUAUGCCCGCUGCAGCCGCUACCGCCACACUGCUCUCCUUUCAGCAGCGUUUUGCUCGGAGGAAAUGAAAGCAUCGGAAAAGGAAACGGGGCUGAAAAGGCUCAGAUCCCAAGCGAGCGGGCUUUUGUUUUCCUAUUGUGCUAGCCCAGCUGAGCCUGUGUUGGAGCAGAGCCCUCCUGCAGCUGGGCCCAAAAACAGCAGCCAAAGAGAAACCCCGGCAACCGGCAGUGCAAAAGGAGAGGGAUGGGCAGAGCCUGCAGAACUCGACCCUGGUGGGGAGGAGAGGUGAGGGGCUGCUUCUGCACAUCCCAAGGGUUGCUGGGGCCGAAAGUGGCUUUGGAAAAACAUCGUUGCACAUUGGUGAUACAUGUGCUGCUUCACAUGCAGAGCUGGAGGUAUAGCUGCCAUUUCUGCCGAAAUCCUUCCUUGAGGGCAUGCCUGAAACAACUGGGCUCUGCAAGAGUGAGCACUGUCCAGAGCACAGCCCUACUAGCUUGGUGUUGGCACAGGGACAGCACUGCUUUCUCUUCCAGUAAGCAAGGGGUUAAACUCAGCCUGGCUUCCCCUGUGUGCCCUGUUUGGGGAAUGGUCUCGUGGGUACCCAACCAGUGACAAGGUGCCUGUAGAAGGGAGCCCAUUGCUCAGAGGUUGAUAUAAAAAGGGAUGAGUCUGGUAAGGUUGCCUCAUGGCUUUUCUUGCCUUUCUUAGGCAGAACAGAUCUGCUGGAAGCGUUAAGUAGCGCUCAAUGCAAAAGCAGCACCGGACUCACAGGGAUGCUGAGCUUUGCCAUAUACCUACUGCAGCUGGGUUCAUGGUCCCCUCUUGGGUUCCAUCUGCUUGAGCUGAAGGUGGUGUUGUCCUUUGUGACCAAAAAGGCUGCCUCUGAUGUUGAAGCCGCUGUCAGCCCAGCUGACACAGCAGAGGUGACAGAAACCUUUUCCUCUCACUUGGGUGAUGCUGGAGAAUGACGCCUAAGGACCGUGCCCUUCAGGAACCUUGCUGAGCCUCUCCUGGCCUAACUCUGAAGAGCAUGACAUAACUGAAGCUGGGGACACAGACUCCAGUGCUUAUGGUGAUUUAUUCGUUCCCAGACUGAGGGUUUGUCUCCCCGAAUUCUUACUUUAAUGAGGCUGCGAUCACAGAAUCAUAAGUAUGGCUUGGGUUGGAAGAGACCUCGAAGACCACCCUUCUCAUGGGCAGGAUUGUCACCCACUAGAUCAGGUACUAGAUCAUUACAGAAGGACUCUGCCUGCUAACCCUGCUACUUACCACUGCCACAGCUAGUAACUUUAAGAGCAGAAUGACACUGCUGUUGUUAUUGCCCUGCCAUGCAAAUAUCUGUCUGGGUAAGGGACCCGGCUUUAGUUUUCCAGUCUCAUAGCAUUUGGUGAAUUUUUGGUGGCCCUUCUUCCUGGAUUUGUGUUAUUGCAUGAAUGUUUUUAUUUAUUUUUGGAGAGAGGGCUUUUACGCUGCAUAAUUACUGAGGGGAAAAAGGCUUCAUCCUUAACGGCUCCCCAAAGUAAAUAAAUUAAAAGAACUGGCACUCAAAAAACUUCUCUUUAUGCUAAUGAUAGGAGAGACUGAUGACUUGGGGCCUCUGAACUCCUGGAGUCAAACAACAUCGCUUCCACUUCCUGAAAUGAGUUUUCCUUUAAGGAUCUGCGUGUGUUUUCUCCGGCUGAUUAAGGCUCUACAAUGUUUUAUUCAUGCUCAACCCGGGAUUAUCAGCAGUGUUUUACAUUUCAAACCAACCAUUGCCAAGACUUCCUCAGCUCAGGGAAGCUGUGCUUCCUCAGUGCAGCUCGGGGCUAUUCCUAGAGAAGGUGGCUCAGCUAUUACUGCUUGUUACCCUCGCUCACUAACCUCUGUAAUGAACUGUACAGCCUUUGCUGGCUCGUUUGCCUUUUCUAUGUUGCUUUUUGUUUUUUCUUUCCCUUUUUAACAUUCCCAAAACUCUAUGGCAAGUGAUCAUCUUUGUAUGAGUCAGUGCUGAAGCAGUGAAGUGUCAGAUUUUAUCCAAAGAAGGAGCUGCACGUCGGCGCAGGGUGAAGCAUUUCUUGGGUAUACACGAGUAUCACAAUAGCAACGUUCAGACAUCCACGGCUGGCCAGGCUGUUUCUGCCUGACCCGGGGCCACAUGGAGCUCUAUGGUGACCACUUCCAUUUCCAAAGUGUCACCAUUCCUAUGAGCAAAAAACAUUUCCCUUUUGGUGCAAACCCCGAAGGGACAGAAGGCAGCAAGCUCUGAUCACGGAAGAGAAGGAGCGGUCCAUUGCAUUUGCAAAUCAUAAGGUCCCAACUGCUGAAUCUCACUGAAGUCAGUGGUUGCAACAGCGAAGUAAUUCAGCUGUCUGAGGGAAAUACAUGGAGAAGAGCCCGUGUCUCCAGCUGCAUGGUUACCACACAGCAAAGAGGGUUAUAUAUUAAAAUUGUGAGACUGUUUAAGCGCUCUGUAAUUAACUGCUGUCUAUUUAACCAGACAGCUAAAGCAAGUUAAUUCGCUGUCAGUUAGGAGACUUAUUAAGCAUCUGCAGGUUUUUCUUUUUAACAAUUUACUGGUCCAUCAUUAACUACCCCUAGAUUAUCUUGUCAAAUUGAUAAUUAAAUGCCUCAAAAAUUCAUUACAGACUCAAUAUAUUAAUAGGAAUAUAAUUAAGUAAUGUUUGCUUAUGCGAUCUGCAGUUUAUUACCUGCAUGCUGAUUUAUCUCCAAGGCAUUUACUAAACCUUAGCUGUAGCCUAUUCAGAAUCAAUACAGGCCCAGGAGUCAAUAAACACCGCAUUAGAUGCAAACAAGCUGUUUAAUUGGGAGAACGCAUUGAAGUUGUCUUCUGGAUCUCCUGUGAGUUUGAUAAGGGAGGUGUGAUCUUAGGAGCACCGACCAAAACUCGUGGUUGCUAUUUUAUGGCUGGGUCGGAAUCGUGCCUGAAGAACUGGUCUGAUUUUGUUGCCUGUUUGCACUGGGUUCUGUGGUCUGUAGGAAGCUGCCUAAAUUGGCCUUACUGUGCUAGUAAGUUGGUGCAAGGGUAAAUCAGAGGCUCUAUUUUGUACCAAACGCUGGAGUUGACUUCUCUUGUCCUGCUUAAGAAAGAUGACAGCCGAACCAUUCCCUUACAUUUGUAAACCCUUGAACUCUGCACGUAAGGUGGAUUUUUCAGGAACCUUAAAAGUCACUUCAUUAACUUUAUUAAGUUUGAAUUUCGGGAAACUAAUUUUUUAAAACGGGAGGGGAACAAUGCUUCUUCUGCUCCGAGUAACAGAGAAGAUGGAACAAAACAGCAUAGGCCUGCUGUAUGCAGAAAUUAAGGGAAACCGUGUGCACAGCUGUGCUUCAAGACAUCGGCUUGCAGUUAAGAUACAUUAUCACUGGUUACCAUCUGCCUGCAUUAACCAACCUGCAGCUCGGCUAUCGAUCAAGAUAAUAAACCUGGGGGGAUGUGGCCACCCUUCCUUUGCAGCUGCAUGUGCCUCAUGAUGUUGUGGUGUUGGUGGCAGGAGGUAUCUGGACCCCAGGGUGCACCCGAAGCUGCCAUAGCUGCACCCAUCCACAGAGCCAUCUUGUGGGGGUUUUGCAAGCUAGAGCUCCGGGUUUGGUUUUGUGGCUUUCUUGUUAAUUUUAAAGACUGGGGAGUUCCCGUGAAGAUGGGUUCAAGCUUGUGUGUACGUGUGUAUGAAAUGCAUGAUUUAAGAAUAAAUAGUAAGCUGAAAUAUUUCAAAUCGCAGCAUCACAAACCCCGUAAAGUGGAGAGUUAUAUUGAAAAGAAAUUAUAAACGGUUAAAGUAAAACCAUAGAGUAUCUGAGCUGGGAAGGACCCACAGGGAUCAUCGAAUCCAAGUCCUGGCUCCACACGGGACUACCUAAAAAUUAAACCAUAUCAGAGCAUCGUAGCAGCCCUCUGAGGGACUUGAGCUUCCCUGUGCUGUCCAGUGGUGUUACAAAACAACUGUAUCGUCCUCAAGAAGACAUUUUGGUGCUCUGUGGCCCUGAUUAGGUGAAAUUAAUGUCUUACGUGCUAUAUCGACGUUUAGGUCGUCCUUCUACCCCUUGGGGGUGACUAUUAUUGCUUUGCUGCCCUGCUUUGAGCUACGGUGCCCUUUCCAGGAGGAGGCAGGGGAAAGAAGCUGGCAAUAUAUCAGAUGGUUUUCCUUUUUCUCCACUGUUAAACUGACAUUAAUGACAACCAACCUAUGAUGGAGUGUGUGAAUACAGACCGGAAUCCAAGACAGCUCUGACACGUGACUCAUUUGUGAGCAUAUCUCUGGGGUUUAACUUUUAACUGUGUUUUUUUGGUUGUUUUUUUUUUGCCCAGCUUAGGGCUAAUUCAGCUUUGGGUUUCACUCUCAAAUAUAUUUGGGCUGUUUUCUUUUCAAAACUGGUAUAAAAACUGGCAUUCUACUAUUUGUAUUAUACGAGAGGCUGGCCAGAACCGAGCUGAGCAUUCCUGGAGCAGAGUUCCCAGCAGGCGUGUUUGUGUGUGUGCAGCCCUCAGUGUCUGCCAGGCUCUUCUGUAAAGUGUUUAUAAUACCUAAAAUAAAAAAAAAAUAAUUAAAAAAAAGCAGGAUUUUCAUCUGGAAAACAUGCAGUUCCAGGGAAGCCUUCUUGCUGGAGAAGCAGAUAUGAGGGCAAAACUGGAGCUGGUAUUUACAGGGCGUUUUUCCAUGCGUUCUAUGUGUGCAUCAUCCUUCCCUUCGUCUGUCUGGAUACAGAGCCUCGCAGGUCCUGACCAGGAAUGCAGAGCUGUUGUAAAAUUCACACAUGCUUGUCUACUAAGAGCCUGUGCAUGGGAAAUUUGGUUAGGAAAUAUUUUCCUGCUUCAUCCUUCUCGGAGCUUUACUGGAAUUGUAGCUGAACCAAACUUUUCUGAAAACUCUGAAAUGCUUCAGUAACUUCUGUUUGUUUUCCUCAUGCCUCUCUACUUGGUUUCUGGCAGGGCCUGAAAGCAGCACUGAGUCACUCGGUAAAGAAGCCUAUUUUGACAGCAUCCCCCUGGCCUAAGCAGGAAGUUCUCCAAGUCUGAAGACAUGGAGAGUUCUGGAUCUCGCAUGGUUAAAGCCCAGAUGUGCAAACCCUGAGAGGUGCUUAAGCUUCUGGAAAUGUUUAGACCGUGCAAAACUGGCAGUGCCGAGAGCCUCAUCUGUCACCGGAGUCAACCAAAAAGGUGUCUGCAGCACAAAUCCCCAAUCCUACGGUCACAUUCUUUGAAGUUCUGUUCUCUAACAUGACUAUUUUUAACAAAGGGGAGGGGGACAGUGGGGAGAAGCUCCAUCUUACUCACCAAAUCUGCGGGCUCCCUGUGUUCUGAGUCAUAGCUGCUGGCUGCACUGACAAAAGCAAGCUUUUUUAAUUUGAUUUCUACCCUCAUUGGUACAGUAGAGGGGGCACAGCAAAGACAGGGACAGCAGUAGGAUUGUGCAAGCAUCAACAAGAUGAUAAAUGGAUCCAUCAGUUUUCCUUGCUGGGAAUAAUAAUAAAGAGAAGCCCGAUUUUUCUCCCAGACCUCAGCAGGAGUUUUGCAAGGUAGAAAUCGGGCAUGGGAAGGAAGGAGGUUAGGAGGAAGAGGUGGAAAGUUGUUCAUCAGUAGAAGAGAGAUACAACUAUGAGCAUUCGAUGUACCACCAUCGUUCCUCUGUAUAACACCAUGUCAGUGUUGCUUUACAUAGAAGAGACACUGAAGCAGAUCCCUCCACAAACCAUACAUCUGACAAAUGGGCAUCUCCCAGCAGUGCCUGUGUGUGAUGUGAUGCUAAGGAAGGCGCAGAGGCGGUCACCCCGUGUGAAUCCAACCACCUGCCUGCGUCUUCUGCAAUGAGGAAGGAAGGGAAACAAGUGAAGGAUCGAAAGGGGAAGAGCUGGGUCUCUUGGUAUUCGCUAGCUAUACGGUGCCUGCCAUGAACGAGUCAGCACUUGUUAGCACUUCCUACGUGGUGGGAUGUGGCACACCACACUCCUCACCCCGUGCACAGAAGAGGAAAUUGCUGAUAACUGUGAUAGUUUGUUGUUGGGCUACCUCACUUCGGUUAUCUAAACUGUUAUAAAAUACAUCAAGGUGAAGAAAGGGGCCUUUCAGUUGCAUGCUAAAUAUCACCCUGCUUUCUGUACUCCAACAUUAUCUGUUGCUGCUCUGCACUGUCAAGCUGAGAUCUCACCCCGAAGCAGUUGUGUUUCAGCACUGAAUACAGCAAUUCCUAACAUGUGAAUGGCCGUACGCCUCAUGCUCCCACAGCCAAAAUCUCCAUUAGAGCUUAUUUUAUAGCAGUUCAUACCUUUGUGUUUGCAGAAGACUUUGGGUACCAUCUGGGAAAAAUUGUUCUUUGUUAAAUUCUCCUUUAUUCCCUUUGGGUUAUGUUUUUAAGGCAGGAGAUGCUGAAGGAUGUUCUGAGGACGGUAAAAGCAGCUUGAAAUGAAGAUGUAGGAGGAAAAGUACUCAAGCUGUUUUUCUGCUUUUGCGAUUGAAAGGAAACUCAUGAUAUAGCAAAUUUUCAAUGGCACAAGAAAUUCUGCUGUCUACUUCAACAUGGCACUAUUAGGCCAGCAACAGGGGGAGCAGCUGCUCAGCCAUUGUAUAAUUGACAUCGCUGAUAAUGACCUUGGAUUCAUAAUUAAGGUUCAUGAGGAUCAGAGGAGGAAAAAAAAAAAAAAAAACCCAGCCCUAUCCUUACAAAAAAAAAAAUGAUAUAAACAACUGUGUGAGUGAGCACAUUGGAACACAACUGAGGGCUGAAGAAAUCCUGCCAGUCCCAGGGCCCUGCAGGGGGUGAGAUGUGGGCGCUGGCGCUGGGAGAGUUUCCAGCUCUCUCCUGGUGAUGCUGAGCACUUGACCAGAAGUGCUGACAUUUUAAGAGGAGGUCAGAGAGGCUGGGGUUAGAACACGCUGCUGAAAACAACAAGAAAAAAGAAAGGGAAAAAAAAAGUAUUUUUGCUGGGAAUGAAUGGACAGGUUCAUGGCAGUAACACUGGAUCUGCAGCAAGGCGUGUUGCCUCCCAGUGUAAUCAGUGCCUCAAAAACACAUGCUGGCAUGUGUUGGAUGUCGAUACCUCCUUUAUCAUACAUAUUUGAGAGCUCAGACUUCAACUGCCACCUGAAAUGAGCACUGUGGUUUUCUUUCCCCACUCAGUGGGUUAUUUGGUUAUGAUUCUGUAUCCUUUCCUGAGGCUCUUUAGAGUUCCGUGUAACUUUCAUCCAUUUCUCUUUCUAGCAAAAAUAUAUUUCAGGAAGUUCCAUAAUUGCACAUGUCUAUAUGGUGAGGUUUGGCACAGAAAACCUGGUGUGAGGUUGGCUUUUUUCUUCCCUUUCAACUUACAAUGUUUAAAUAGGGUUCCUACACAGAUUCAAAAAACACAUUCUGCUGGGUCAUGCUGGAGCUUUGAGUCAUAACUUUUGUUAAACAGGGAAGAAAAUCCACCAAGUAUUAUGAUGCAAACAGUCCUUAUGGAGAAUCCCACACUGCUCCUGUGUGCAGAGAAUUUGCCACUCGGUUUCUGUUGUGCAUUUUGAACUACAAACCUGCAGGCAAGUGUGGCAGUGCUCAGAGUUCAGCAGAACUUGAGUACUCUGGGUUUUGUUUGGGUUGUGCUUUAUUAGGCUUUAGGCUAUUAAGGGAGGGGACUCCAAUUUCCUUUAAUAAAUAAUGUUUGCGUGCACUUGGGAAAUGGCAAUCAUGUUUUGCUAACUACUGAAACCUAAUGCAUGAGAAAUGUAAAGCUGGAUGAGCACCGUUUUAUUCCAGAGUUUGAGUUGCAUUCUUGGAUGGGGUUACAAGCCUUUUUGACUGUGGGGUAGGAGCUCUGAAGCGAUGCCUUUCAGAGCUGCCUCGAAACACCACUAAAUGACUGCUUUCAUGAGACUCAUUCUUAAUCAGGAGGCGCCUGGUACCUUAUGGAAGAUGGAUCCUGUCAAGCCAGACUUGGGAUUAUUUGUGAUGAAAUUAAAAAUAUGGUCAAUAAGAUACUUGUGGUUUGAGACUCAUGAAAAAUAUUUGUCUUGGUACUCAAAAUACUUAAACUAGAAUGAUUCAAAAUCAAUGUGGAAGAGUAAAAGGAUUAAACUGGCUUGGAAACACAUCCCAAAAGGUAAUUGUAAACAGGAAAUCAGAAUGGAGUGGGUGUAUUUCUCGUGGGGUCUCCAAGAUUGUUUUGUAGCUCUAAAUGACCGAAUGUUUUACAAAUGGCCAAGCAGAAAACAGCAGUCAGGCACCAGCGUGGCACAUGACACGAGGCCUGGUCAGGGGCUGCUUGGUGAGCUGAACAGGUGAAGCACCACGUUCUGUAGUGACCUCACGCCCAGAGAGGGGAGGUCUGGUGAAGCCAACUCCCUUCUGCUGCAGCCAUUUGCUCAGACCUCCUGGUGCAGUCCAUGAGCAUGUGAUCCUCGAGGGAAAGCAGCACGAACAGUGAUAAAAUACUUGAACUGCAGCUGUCCCCUAUGAGAAGCCACAGACAACACUGUCAGGGUGCCCUGGUUAUUGUCUGGCUCUGCAGUCCAUAUGAGAAGAAGAGUCAUCGAAACAAGGAUGGGCCCUACCAGUUAUGGGUGAGAUUGUGCUAGAAGAAGUUGAAAUGCGGAAGAGAAGUUGCUUAUGGCAUGUGAAGAAUGAGGCUGUUCGAGACAGGAUGCCAGGAGGUCUUUGACCUCCUAGUCAAUGAGGAAAGGUCCUUUUUUAGGCUCCUAAGUAUGCCUGGAUUCAGACAAAGUGUAGUUUGCUCCAGCCGAGCUCCCAGCCAUUUUCCCUGCUGAUGAGUUUUCCUGUUUACUCUCAUUGCACAGGGUGGACUGAUGGAGCUUACACUGACUUGGACAGAGUGGAGGAAGUUAAAUGUAGCAUCUGAAAGAAUAAAGAAUGAGAAUUAAGUACUGCACAGGCCGUGGGGCUGAGUUAAGGCCAUUAGUUGCAAGAAAGAAAUGGUAGUGGUAGGCAUUUCCAGAUCUGAGUGUAAGUGUAGCUGGAAGCUACAGGGCAGCAGGACCUCCUGGCUCUAGAUAAAAUAGAACAGUGCUUCCAGAGCUCCCUAAAAUACUCUUCCGUCAAAACUAAUGAACAGAUUACUUUCUGCCAGUGCAAGUGACUAGACAGGUAGCAACAGCAUUUAAAGCCUGAUCCACCUCUGUCAGAAGGUACACGGAGUAGGCACAGAACAACAGCUCGGGAUUGCCCAUCUGAGAUGUGAAGCAAGACUAAGUAUGGUUACUUGAAGAGGAAAUAAGGGUCAAGAUGUCCACUCAUGUCCACACAUGGCUUAUAAAACUGGUGAUUGGGUCGUCUUGGCUCUGUGACGAUGAUGUCCCUGCUGAUGGAGCCUUCUCCUGUCUCACCUCCCGGUGCUGGCUGGCUGCUGGCUUUGUUUUUGUUUCGGUUUUUUUUUCCCCUUCUAAGGGCUUAUAAAAGGCUGUUUAGUUUUGUUUUUAAAGGGUGAAGAGGGGAAAAAACAACUUCCAGAAAAAAAAACAACAGCUCAAGCUCCAGGAGCCAGAUCUUAGCAUGAGAACCCGACUCACUGUAGGGGAGGGCUGUGUCAGAUCACUGCAUGCUCCAGGAGCAAGAAUUCAGUGCCUGCUGAAAAGCCACAGAACUCAGACCCUAUUUGAAAGAGUAACAUCUUUGAUAUAAAAAAACAAAAACAAAUAAACAACAACAGCAAAAAAAAACCCCAUCACCCAGCCAAUAAAAAGCCUCAGACAUACAGGAUCCCAUUCAUGGUGGGAGGGAUUUAGUGGAAGUAUUUUCCUUCUUUAAGGUUUGGCAUGGCCUUAAAGGAGUCUCUUUAAAAGCUUCCAGAGCCGAUUAUAUUUUGGAUUGUGUUUCACAUCACCCUUCCCCCACCACGUUUGGUGGGUCCUCAAACGAGUUCCCAGAAUAAAUCAGACAUAACGGUAGCGGGAUUUUAUUUUUUAUUUCAUUUUCUUUUUUUUUCUUGAGGAGGAGGAAGGAAUAAAUGACACCAAAUUCUGUAAUGGAAAGAAAAAAAAAAAUAGUGUGUAUCGGAAACUGCUGCUGAGUGACUCACGCUGCCGGACAAACGGAACCUCACUCAUCACUCCAUCUUCAUCCUCCUCCUCUGGUGAGAGAAAAAGUCUUGGAAAAAUAUCAGCACCCCCCCCCCCUCCCCGUUGCUUCUCCCG